UACAGAGGUCUCAAGCGUUGUUCGGAUUCAUUGGGCGUAAAGGGUGCGUAGGCGGCGCGGUAAGUCGGGUGUGAAAUCUCGGGGCUUAACUCCGAAACUGCAUUCGAUACUGCCGUGCUUGAGGACUGGAGAGGAGACUGGAAUUUACGGUGUAGCGGUGAAAUGCGUAGAUAUCGUAAGGAAGACCAGUGGCGAAGGCGGGUCUCUGGACAGUUCCUGACGCUGAGGCGCGAAGGCCAGGGGGAGCAAACGGGG
rnacentral:rRNA from 1 species